ACCGGCAGCCCGAGUGGUGAUCACUAUUAUUGGGUCUAAAGGGUCCGUAGCCGGUUUAAUCAGUCUUCUGGGAAAUCUAAUCGCUUAACUAUUAGGCUUCCAGGGGAUACUGUUAGACUUGGGACCGGGAGAGGUAAGAGGUACUGCAGGGGUAGGAGUGAAAUCUUGUAAUCCCUGUGAGACCACCAGUGGCGAAGGCGUCUUACCAGAACGGGUCCGACGGUGAGGGACGAAAGCUGGGGGCACGAACCGGAUUAGAUACCCGGGUAGUCCCAGCUGUAAACGAUGCUCGUUAGGUGUCAGGAACGGUGCGACUGUUUCUGGUGCCGAAGGGAAGCCGUGAAACGAGCCACCUGGGAAGUACGGCCGCAAGACUGAAACUUAAAGGAAUUGGCGGGGGAGCACUACAACGGGUGGAGCCUGCGGUUUAAUUGGACUCAACGCCGGAAAACUCACCGGGGGCGACAGCAAUAUGUAGGUCAGGUUAAAGGUCUUACCUGAAUCGCUGAGAGGAGGUGCAUGGCCGUCGUCAGUUCGUACUGUGAAGUAUCCUGUUAAGUCAGGCAACGAGCAAGACCCGUGCCCACUGUUACCAGCAUAUCCUUUAUGGAUGAUGGGGACUCUGUGGGGACCGCUGCUGCUAAAGCAGAGGAAGGUGCGGUCUACGGUAGGUCAGUAUGCCCCGAAUCUCCCGGGCUACACGCGGGCUACAAUGGUUGGGACAAUGGGUAUCUACUCCGAAAGGAGUUGGCAAUCUCUUAAACCCAAUCGUAGUUCGAAUUGAGGGCUGUAACUCGCCCUCAUGAAGCUGGAAUCCGUAGUAAUCGCGUUUCAACAUAGG
rnacentral:rRNA from 1 species